GUUUUAUUUCGAUCGAGAUGAGUUUUUUUGUUUGAGAGCCGAAGCGUGCGGCUCGCUGUUACGUCCUCCCCAGAUUUCCUCUCGGCUCGAUGUCGACACCGACGGAAGGGAUUUAAGGUGGCAAUUCCUCAUUUUAGGGGAGAAAUUGGAGAUCCUGCACAGCCAAAUUGGUGGGUGCUGAGCCCCCAUUCACUUUGCAUCCCAUCGCCAUCACCGCGUCUCGUCACGUGACCCGAACAGGUUCUUUUCUCUUUCCACCCGACAGAGUUGCAGGCACCCCCGCUGCAGCACGUCACGUGCUGCCUCCGGUCAUCAUUAUUAUCCUAGCUGUUUGUUAAAACAGCUCAGUCAUUGCUUCUUUUUUUUUUUCUUUCCUUCUUAACCCCGGCCUAGUAAUUAAGAAGUUAAAAUAAUAUAGAGAAGGAUAAAGUUAGAAGUC